AACAUAUCCCUCACUCUCCUUGUCGGAUGAAGGAGAAGGUGGCAGCACGGAAAGUGUUUUGGACUCGUGUAAGGUAACGUUACUUCAUAAUACAAUAAUUUUGAGCCCGUGGCACGAUGCUUCAACAUUUUCAGUUUGGCAACGCUGUAAUUGCCCUUUGUAACUAACGUGUAACUUUAGCUAACAAUGGCGUCGGGCGGGAGGCAUCUAGCCGACCUGUUGCGUCAAGUGGCGGAGCACAGUAAGUCCAUUCUGUUAGCAGUUAUAUAUUGAUAUUGACUGAUAUAUAAGCUGCAGUAUUAACUUUAACUGGAUUAGCCAGCCAUGAUUACCAUGAUUCAUUACCCUCCCUGUUAUUUUUUCAUGCAGCACCGGGUGCCGUCGUGAGCGCGCCAAACUCCCCUCCACUGCUAGCUCAACACACGCCGGGACACCCGGUGGACGCAUGGGUGCAGAUCCCGGGGGGGACGGGGGGGACAUGUCCCCCCCAAUCCUGACAUUGGAUCUGCACCCCUGGGUGGAUGCCGAGGUUUCAAGAAUUUUUGGGCCAUAUACGAACAGAGGGAGAAGGCCAAUGGCAAGGCAGCGAUCCCACGCUGUGUCUACACAGCUUUAUUCGUAUACACAUUCUUUCUGCUGUCUGGAGAAUAAGAACACAACAGUAGUCCGCAAUCGGUUCUCCAAACAGAGACUCACUGCUGCCCGGUUGGGGGAUAAGCGUCUCACAUUUAAAGGUGGUCAGACAAGUCCUGCUGAGUUCAAGGAAUUCCUAUUUUCAGCAUUUCCGAAACUCAGAGAGGGGGGUGGGUUUGAACUGCUGAAAAUAUCUGGAACUACCCGAAGUCGCGACCUGGUCCUGUCCCCUGUCCCAACGAAGGCUACCAUGUCCAACAUCUAAAAGAUCCGCAAUCCCAGAUUGGCCAUGCAACAAUUUUCAUUCGACCUCUUCAACGAAACCUGAAUCUGGAGCCUAUUUCUCAACCUGAAUGCAGCGGUGAGCUUAUUGGACCACCUCAAAAGUGUGUCACAUGUGGUGAAGUAUUCCCAUUUUCAGCAGUCAAGGACCACAGUGAUGAAUGCAUGAGAUUGGAAAACAGAGCCAGAUACCACAAAGGCAGCAAAAAGAUUCGAGGAAGACAUAUUAAAUCAGCAUGCGACCGGAAAACCACUAAGUCUGGCCGUGGACGUUGGAGACAGCACAGAGGACAGGGAAAGGGAAAUCCUUUCUUUUUAUAAGAUGGCGCAUGUUGAGUGGGCUUGCCCUUUGACUUGCACACUGAGGGGAGAUCCAGCAAUUGGUGAUGGUGUAACUCGCCAUUUCUUCGCAACAAUCAUGUCCAAACUUCAGUUGGUUUUGAUCUCAGUUUUGUGCCAGGGGGAAUGCUCCUGUUUGAAGGUGAAAAAGACCACUUGAUUCCCUCCACUUCCCAUCUCCUUCUGGAGAGUGACUUUUUCGUUGUUGCUGGCCGAAUGAUUGGACACUCCUUUCUGCAUGAUGGGCCAUGCCUAGGUGGACUGAGCCCCGCAAUUGUACAUGUGCUCUUUGGUGGAUCCCCAGAAGAAGCUACAAUAGAUAUUAAGGAUUGUGCUGACCUUGAUAUCCGUGAGACAAUCAAGUUGCUGGAUGGCACAGCAGAAUUAUCGUCUGAAGAUAAGCAGGCUAUCAAUGAGCUGGCAAUGUCCUGGGAUUUGCCACGAGUCACAUCUGAGAACAGGAGAUGGCUGCUUGACAAACUGCUCCUCCAUGCUGUCCUUGGAAGAACCUCCAGACAAGUCAAGCAGUUAAGACGGGGUUUAAAGGAGACGCUGAUCUGGCCUUUGUUAACAGAGAGGAAAGACACAAUUCCACUCCUUUUACCAAGAAUGUCUGACAUGCAGUGCACUCCACAGAUGGUCUUGGACAAGAUUAACUGGUCAACACAAGACGAAGAAGAAGACAGUGAUGUGUCUUUAGAAGAUGCAUGUCGGGCCACAGGAUUCCUAAGAGCAUUUAUUGAAAAUGCUUCUUCAGACAUUCUUGGAAAACUUGUGCCGUUCUGGGUGGGCUGGAAUGUGCUUCCCAGAGAGUUGGAUAUUGAAGUGGUGGAGAGCAACUUCUUCAAGUCAUCUACCUGCUUCCACCUGCUUAAAAUCCCAGGGCAUUUUAGUACACACAGCUUCUUCGAAAGAGACCUCCUUGCCGCAGUUUGUAGUGUCGACAGUGGCUUUGGAUUGGUCUGAGUAGACUGUUACUCAACAUGUGUCUAGGUCUCUUGGUUGUAACACUGUCAAGUAGGCUGCACACGAUCAGAAUUUUUGGGCCGAUCAGAUCGGCGGAAAGCCUACUGUCAAGUUAAAAUGGGGUAUUGUUAAAGGGUAUUGUUCAAAAAUCUCCAGGACCUCUAAAAUUUCCUUUAGGACCAACAAUCAGGAAAUGAAAAAGGUUUGUUUAAUUUUCUAACAAUAAUGAUCUAAAGUGCA